rnacentral:tRNA from 1 species
CGGGGCAUGGGCCAGGUGGAGUGGCCGCUUGCGUCGGAAGCAAGAGAACGCAGGUUCGACUCCUGUUGCCCCGAC